rnacentral:rRNA from 1 species
AUUGAACGCUGGCGGCAUGCUUUACACAUGCAAGUCGAACGGUAACAGGCCGCAAGGUGCUGACGAGUGGCGAACGGGUGAGUAAUGCAUCGGAACGUGCCCAGUCGUGGGGGAUAACUACUCGAAAGAGUAGCUAAUACCGCAUACGAUCUAUGGAUGAAAGCGGGGGACCGUAAGGCCUCGCGCGAUUGGAGCGGCCGAUGUCAGAUUAGGUAGUUGGGGGGGUAAAGGCUCACCAAGCCAACGAUCUGUAGCUGGUCUGAGAGGACGACCAGCCACACUGGACCUAGACCCCGCCCCAAACCCUUCGGGAAGGCAGCGUUGGGAAAUUUUGGCCAAUGGGCGAAGCCUUGUUCAGCCAAUGCCGCUUGCAGGAAAAGGGCUUUCGGUUUUUAAACUGCUUUUGUCCGAAACAAACCGGUUCUGUUUAAUACCCGGGCUAAUGACGGUACCGUAAGAAUAAGCACCGGCUAACUACGUG